rnacentral:rRNA from 1 species
AUUGAACGCUGGCGGCAGGCCUAACACAUGCAAGUCGAGCGGCAGCGGGACCUUCGGGUUGCCGGCGAGCGGCGGACGGGUGAGUAAUGCCUAGGAAUCUGCCUGUUAGUGGGGGAUAACGCGGGGAAACUCGCGCUAAUACCGCAUACGUCCUACGGGAGAAAGUGGGGGACCUUCGGGCCUCACGCUAACAGAUGAGCCUAGGUCGGAUUAGCUAGUUGGUGGGGUAACGGCCCACCAAGGCGACGAUCCGUAACUGGUCUGAGAGGAUGAUCAGUCACACUGGAACUGAGACACGGUCCAGACUCCUACGGGAGGCAGCAGUGGGGAAUAUUGGACAAUGGGCGAAAGCCUGAUCCAGCCAUGCCGCGUGUGUGAAGAAGGUCUUCGGAUUGUAAAGCACUUUAAGCCGGGAGGAAGGGCUGUAGGCGAAUACCCUGCAGUCUUGACGUUACCGGCAGAAUAAGCACCGGCUAACUUCGUGCCAGCCGCCGCAGUAAAAC